rnacentral:rRNA from 1 species
UCGGGAAUAUUGCGCAAUGGAGGAAACUCUGACGCAGUGACGCCGCGUGCAGGAAGAAGGUUUUCGGAUUGUAAACUGCUUUAGACAGGGAAGAAACAAGACAGUACCUGUAGAAUAAGCUCCGGCUAACUACGUGCCAGCAGCCGCGGUAAUACGUAGGGAGCAAGCGUUAUCCGGAUUUAUUGGGUGUAAAGGGUGCGUAGACGGGAAUGCAAGUUGGUUGUGAAAUCCCUCGGCUCAACCGAGGAAUUGCAACCAAAACUAUAUUUCUUGAGUGCUGGAGAGGAAAGUGGAAUUCCUAGUGUAGCGGUGAAAUGCGUAGAUAUUAGGAGGAACACCAGUGGCGAAGGCGACUUUCUGGACAGUAACUGACGUUGAGGCACGAAAGUGUGGGGAGCAAACAGAUUAGAUACCC